UACGGAGGGGGCGAGCGUUAUUCGGAAUUAUUGGGCGUAAAGGGCGCGUAGGCGGCCCGGUAAGUCAAAGGUGAAAUCCCUCGGCUCAACUGAGGAACUGCCUUUGAAACUGUCGGGCUUGAGGCCGGGAGGGGGUAGCGGAAUUCCCAGUGUAGCGGUGGAAUGCGCAGAUAUCAGGAGGAACACCGAUGGCGAAGGCAGAUCUCUGGGCCGUAACUGACGCCGAGGAGCGAAAGCGUGGGGAGCAAACAGG
rnacentral:rRNA from 1 species